GUGAGGGUAUCUUGCUGGAGAUCCCUGUGUACCUGGAGCCUUCUGAAGGCUGUGAGCAGAGCUAUACACAAACCACAGAAUUUCUGAAGACAAUGCAAAGCAUCAAAACAGCCUCAGCACUGGAGCAAGCUGUGGCUGCUUACAUGAUGGCAGUCUGAUAUGCCAACAGACAGCUGAUGAACUGAGCUCACUUCUUAACAAGCCUCCAAUCAAGACGUCUACUUGCUUUGGACAAAAGAGCUUUCAAUGAGAUGACUCCCUUCAGAGACUGUUCACCAGAGCCUGUGUUUCCUAAAGGAGGUGUUGGCUCUGAUUCAGGCUAGUCUGGCAGGACAGCAUGCAUCCACCUCGUGCUGCAGCAACCUCAGCAAUGCCUUCUCUCACAGAUCUCUUUUUUGACUCCUCGCUUCUUUUCCUGCAGAAUGGGAGCAGAGCACAGCCCCCUGGUGUGUGCUGGUUUCUCCUGUUUCAUUCCUGCUCUCUGGCUUUUUACAUCUCACUGCCUUCUCCUGCACACAGGACAUCCUCCUCUUCUUUUUACAGGUUGCAGCUCCUCCCUAUGUCUGCUGAUCACCAAGGAUGCUACGUAAUCAGAUGUACAGGCCUCUUCCCAGAGAACUGUGGAUGCAGCAGUGUCCCUUUUUUGCAUUUGUCAUGUUACUGCUCCUACGUGCAUCUAAAUUCAGCACCGUCAGCUCUCAAAUUUAACUUCAGCGUGAGCAGCUUCAUUUGUAAUGGCUUUAGCAAUGCAAGAAGAAAACUACACUUACAGUUGUGCCCAGUGCUAUGUACUGCAUUACCAGAGCACCCUCACCCAGCAGGAGGGUCAGCACUGCUCGCAGCAAAGGAGAGGUCUGGUGAGCUGAAAGCAACCAGCCCAGACAACAGCAGAGAUGGAGUCAGGACUCCUGGGUCCACUGCAUUUACCCACAAAGCCAUUUGUCAGCACCAGACUUGGAGAGCUGGAUUAGCUGUUCCAAGAGCCCACUUCACCCUCAGAUGGAUGCCUAGGCAGGUUGUAUAUUAGUACAAGUACACCUCAGCCAGCGUGAAAAAAUCAAGGCACUUUGCUGCACACACUGCAAGCUGCAGAAUUGUGUUCUGGCAGCAAGAAGUUGAUAAGUGAAGUUUUAAUUUCGCUGAGCUAGUUGUGAAGUAAUGCUGGUUCCAUGUUAAGGAGAGACCAACGAGCAGGUGACAACACAACACAGAUCAUCUCGAGGCAUUUUCCUUUGGAUAUCUAUAAUUAUAAACCAACUAUUACCAGCUUUGCUCUCUCUCCACAGUAAAUAAUUAACUGCAAAAGCAUAUUCCUCUUGGCCCCAUCCUCCUCGAUCAAUAUGGCUUCAGGACUAUGUGCUGCCAGGACUGCUCACUAUAGCAGAGCACUCAAAGCAUUUCACGUGACAGAGGAACGGUGUGACUUCAAUCACUUCAGCAGAGACCUUUCCUUCCCAAUACAAAGAGGUGUCAUCAUGUAACUCCUGUACCUACAGCAGGAAAGUGCAGCAUGCAUCACUUAGAAGAUACAUUACAUCACUUGCACAAAGACACAAAAACAAGUCUGUCAUUUGAUCCUGGUCAUUCUCUUUGUAUUCUAAGACACUGGAUUAUUCAGUUAAAAAUCACAUUGUAAAGGCACAAGCAAAAAUAAGUGAUGGAAGAACACUCCAGAAUUGCAGAAACACCCUUCUCACAACCAGCCAGAAUGCCAGGGAGAGGCAGAGCAGCGCUGCCACUGAGCAAACAUCUUCAUACAGUCACUGGGUUUAGUUCAGCUGCUGACAAAGAGUUCAGUCAAAAUCUCCACCAAGGUGGAGUAAAAGGGAGAAAAUUUAGACUUGGAAAGCUUGAAAAGAGUGGCUGAAAAAUAAGGCAGAUGAAAGAAAAGCCAUGAUAGACUGAGAGAUAAAAGUAAAGGGAGAAAGAAAAAAAGGGGGGGUGGGGGAAGUAAGUGAAACAGAUACUAAGAACAGCUCAGGAAAAGAGAAACUGUGAAAAAGUAGAAUGGAAACUAGAAAGGCGAUGAGAGAAAGAGGAAUGGGACAGGGUAGAGCAGCUGAGCAGCACUUAGCAGAUGUCAUUUGUUUAAACUCAUUGUAUUUGUCAAAUAAUUUACUUAAUAUUCCUUUUUGGCAUCCAGUGAGCCGUAAAGCUGAUGAAAUAGCAUUUUGUACAAUUAAAAGCAUUGAAUGCAUUCAAUUCUUACCAAUAUUAAACUAAUAAUACAUCUAUCUGCUGGCUCUAAGUUUACACUUCAAAAAAAUAUAUAUUAAAUACGAAGCUGGUAAUAAAUUACAAUUAAAUAUAUGAGCCUGGGGUGCAACUGUGCUGCUCUUCUGGGUUGCCCAAAGCAGAGCAGCACAAUGCACCUUGAAAGAUGGCAAGCUGGGGCCUGGUCAGCAUUCCUGCCCCUUUGCUUCUUCACCAAGAACUCUACACAGGGCAGCCUUUGCCUCAGUUUUCACCACGUUGAUUUUUCCCUCUCAAUCAACUUCAGAAGGCUCUUUUCUCUCAAAAGCGUGAAGUUUUGAGUCCUGGUGACAAACGCUGUGGACAGCCCAGCCUGGAUGAGCGGGAAGGCUGGAGGGGAUCCAUGCUGUUGGGCUGUCAUAUUGGGUAACAGAUGUUUGGAAGCUGCACUUUACCUCCCCAGAAGGUUAAGGAAGACAGCGAUGUGGCAAAUGGUGCUUUAGUACUGCUGCUCUCCCAUGGAACGCUUCCUAAGUGCCAGCAGCCUGCUUCACUGCUUCUUGGAGGAGCCAAGGAAAGAAGUCAAGCAGCAACUGUCAGCCUGCUUCUCCCUUUCUGGUCCAACAGCACUGUAAGAGUCCCCUCAUGAUGCUCUGAGCAAAGAAUCUCCUUUGGAGCUUCACGGCAACCCCUCUCAAGUGACUCACAGAGCCCACAGAAGAGCCUCCCUUAGGCCUUUGGUCUUACUUCAAUAUCAUGGCACGAGCGUGACCCCAAAUGGAGGUCACUAUUGCUAAUUACCAGAUCACAGCACAAACAGAAAAGGUAUGACUGCACCAAUGUUUGCAUGGAGAUCUGGAGGCUGUGCUGACAGCACCCACCCAGCACGGCCCAGCAGUGACAGCCACCAGCCUGCAGGCCCACCAGCAGGCCGAGCCAGGAAUUCCUUCAGCUCUGGCUGCCCUGCUGCUGAAACAACACCGUUUGCACGUUGUUAAUCAGACCGGGACUGUGCCAGAGGAGUGGGCUGCAGUGCCUGGGUGUGCAAAGGGGGGACAGAUGACUUCACAGCCACAGCUCUCUUGCAAGCACUGGGAAAACCAUGCAAGCUUCAUUCUCCAGCUGCAAAACCAGAACACUUCAGAGUUCUGCAAGGAUAAAUACAUCAGCAGUUCUGACCAAAGCAGUGCCUGCGUCCCCUUAUCUCUGAUGGCCUGGGCUGGGGGAGGAAGAGUGGCCGCACCAUAGCCCCGUGUUGGCACACGCAGUUGUGGUACACGCAUCCCUCCCUGUUCUCCUGCACGGUGCCGGGUGCCCGAGGCGCACAGUUCCGUGCGUGCUUGGAUCAGGCUCUGCAGAGGAGCACGGCCAACAGGAGCUCGUGCCUAUCGGGCACCGCCGAGGCAGCCGGGAGUAACUGCACGGAGCGACGGAGACAACUUCAGG